AUUGAACGCUGGCGGCAGGCUUAACACAUGCAAGUCGAGCGGAGUGAUGGUGCUUGCACUAUCACUUAGCGGCGGACGGGUGAGUAAUGCUUAGGAAUCUGCCUAUUAGUGGGGGACAACAUCUCGAAAGGGAUGCUAAUACCGCAUACGUCCUACGGGAGAAAGCAGGGGAUCACUUGUGACCUUGCGCUAAUAGAUGAGCCUAAGUCGGAUUAGCUAGUUGGUGGGGUAAAGGCCUACCAAGGCGACGAUCUGUAGCGGGUCUGAGAGGAUGAUCCGCCACACUGGGACUGAGACACGGCCCAGACUCCUACGGGAGGCAGUAGUGGGGAGUAUUGGACAAUGGGGGGAACCCUGAUCCAGCCAUGCCGCGUGUGUGAAGAAGGCCUUAUGGUUGUAAAGCACUUUAAGCGAGGAGGAGGCUCUUUUGGUUAAUACCCAAGAUGAGUGGACGUUACUCGCAGAAUAAGCACCGGCUAACUCUGUGCCAGCAGCCGCGGUAACAC
rnacentral:rRNA from 1 species